AUGCAAGAAGAAGUCUCUGAUACUGAAGAAACACCCCAAGAGGAAAUACAGCAGGAAGAUGCCCUUGAAGAAACUGAAGAAAGGGAGCACACCAUGCAUAUAUCUGCACAGGCUAGUGGAGCGUUUACUUUUACCCACACACCUACUGUCAUUGUGACUAUAGGGGGCAAAGCAGUGGUAGCUCUGUUAGACUCUGGCAGUAACUCUUCCUAUAUGGACCAAGAUUUUGCAAUCAAAGCCAACUGCAACUUACUACCUGCCCCUACAAGAGACAUUGCUGUAGCAGGAGGAGGAAUUCUCAAGUCAAAAGCCCUAGUACCGAAUUGUGAAUUCAAUCUGCACAAACAACAGUUUGAGCACACUUUCAGGAUUUUAUCUCUGCCAAGUCAUGAAGUAGUACUGGGCUGUGAUUGGAUGGCUAAAUACAGCCCAAUUUCCUUUGAUCUCCCCAAAAAUACUUUUGCUAUCACACAAGAGGGAGUAGUUACUGAAUUCCCCACCUGCAUUCCUAUGAACAACAUUGUGGAAAUCCCUGCUGAGCAAAUGAACAAAAUGUUGGAGAAACCAGUCAGUGGUUAUGUCAUUCAAAAGUGCAACCUGCACUUGGAACAUGACAAAGAUAACACUGUACCAGCAGAAGUAACACAAUUACUUACGAAGUAUGAAACUGUAUUUGCGGAACCCACUGAGCUACCUCCCAAAAGAGAAAUAGACCAUGAAAUACCCCUGAAACCAGGGUCUGUACCACCUCAAAUGAGACCAUACAGACUGCCACAAAUCCAGAAGAAAGAAAUGGAGCAUCAGGUCAGACAAUUACUAAGAGCUCAUAUUAUCAGAGAAAGUCAAAGUCCAUACGCUGCUCCUGCAAUUCUGGUACAAAAGAAAGACACUACACAAAGACUUUGUAUUGAUUUCAGGAGAGUCAAUUCUCAAACAAUCAAGAAUAAGUUCCCCAUUCCAAUCAUAGAAGACUUGCUAGAUGAGCUACAUGGGGCAAAAAAUUUCUCCAAAUUGGACCUGAGGUCAGGUUAUCACCAAAUACGGAUGAAAGAAUCAGACAUACACAAAACUGCAUUCAGGACUCACUUUGGGCACUAUGAAUUCUUGGUAAUGCCUUUUGGCCUCUCAAAUGCCCCAGGCACUUUCCAAGCUUUAAUGAACAAGAUCUUUGGCAAGCAUCUAAGGAAGUUCAUACUAGUUUUUUUGAUGAUAUACUCAUUUUUAGUGAGACUUUAG
rnacentral:rRNA from 1 species